UUGAGCUAAGGAUGAUCUAAGUUAUCCCUGUCUGAAAUGACACUUCAGUGAAGAGUCACGGUUUACUGAGGCUCAA
ensembl:snoRNA LOC120095397 small nucleolar RNA R38